CGUCUCAGUUCGGACUGUGGUCUGCAACCCGACCACACGAAGCUGGAAUCGCUAGUAAUCGCGAAUCAGAAUGUCGCGGUGAAUACGUUCCCGGGUCUUGUACACACCGCCCGUCACACCAUGGGAGUCAGCAACGCCCGAAGUCAGUGACCUAACCGAAAGGGAGGAGCUGCCGAAGGCGGGGCCGGUAACUGGGGUGAAGUCGUAACAAGGUAUC
rnacentral:rRNA from 1 species